GACGAACGCUGGCGGCGUGCUUAACACAUGCAAGUCGUACGGGGACAUGUCGUUUCGGCGGGGUGUUUUAGUGGCGAACGGGUGAGUAACACGUGAGUGACCUGCCCUUCACUUUGGGAUAACGUGCGGAAACGUGCGCUAAUACCAAAUAUUCGCAUUUCUGCUGCAUGGUGGGGUGUGGAAAGGGGCCUUCGGGUUCUGGUGGGGGAGUGGGCGUCGCGGCCUAUCAGCUGUGUUGGUGGGGGAUGGCCUACCAAGGCGUGGACGGGUAGCCGGCCUGAGAGGGUGUUCGGUCACACUGGGACUGAGAUACGG
rnacentral:rRNA from 1 species